rnacentral:pre_miRNA from 3 species
UUGUGUCAUUCUUCAAAGUGGUUGUGAAAUGUUUGCCUUUUUAUGCCUAUUCAUAUCACAGCCAGCUUUGAGGAGCGACACGA